UUUCUUACAGAACAGCUGUAGGCAAAGAACAGGAGAAGGGAAGCGCCUUGGCUCCUUUUAGCUCCACACCAGAGCUCAGAGACAGUGAAAUAAUCAGCUGAAGGUCAUACAGAAAGUUUGUGGCAGAGCAAAAAAAGUGAAUGCAGUUUCCCAGGUAUCUACAUUUCUUGUAUGUCUGCUUCUACCAGAGAAAUGCCCCAGACCCCAGAAUUUCAUAGAAAGGACUAUCGCAGUCUUGAUAGACCCGAACUGUAAGGUUUAGAAGAGUAAGAGAAAAUGCUCAGUGACCCUGAAACAGUAUUUGGACUGGAAGCCUCACAUGUGCAAGGGCUGGCGCAGUGAUUUUCCGGGAACUAAGGAAGAGCAGGGACUCAGUCACUCUUGGAGAGAGUGGAAAGGUCCUACCAUUUCUGGGGAAAACUGCUUCCAGUCAAAAUUUUCCAGAAUUUCCUGUCUGGAUGGAAAGUUACUGAGUUGUCUAUUGCUGCAAAUGGCACAGGUUUGUGAAAUGGUUCUUUUAAAGCACCAAAAACAUAUAUUGUAUUUUGGAUGCUCUCCUGACUAGUCUAGCCAGCCUUUCUCCAAGAACAUUGGUUUCUCUUCUGAGAUGGAAGCCAUCCAACCCCUGCAGCAUGAUAUCACAGAUGGCAAACCAGUUUUUUAAAAAAUAAAAUCUUUUCUGUGUACAACUUAA